rnacentral:rRNA from 1 species
UGCCAGCCGCCGCGGUAAUACGGAGGGUGCAAGCGUUAAUCGGAAUUACUGGGCGUAAAGCGCGCGUAGGCGGCGUGAUAAGUCAAUUGUGAAAUCUCCGAGCUUAACUCGGAACGGCCAAUUGAAACUAUUGUGCUAGAGUGCAGAAAGGGCAACUGGAAUUCUUGGUGUAGCGGUGAAAUGCGUAGAUAUCAAGAGGAACACCUGAGGCGAAGGCGAGUUGCUAGGCUGACACUGACGCUGAAGUACGAAAGCUAGGGGAGCGAACGGGAUUAGAUA